UAAGUGCUUUCUGUUAGGAUAA
rnacentral:miRNA from 1 species